CUAAAAUGUAAGAAAUGAAUUUCAAUUCAUUAAAAAUUCCUAAUUACAAUUGGGCAAAAGCCAUUUAAAUUGAAAUUAAGAAAAUAAAAAGCCUAAAAAGCUAAGCAGGCAAGGGAGGGAAAUGAGCACCAACAAAGGGAAUGAUGGCAUUGGUCUACUGCUUUAGAAGUUUCGUUAUACCCUCCAGCUUCAUCUUCAAGUUUGAUCACAUGCUGCCUCCGUGGGAGUCUAAGGUUCUCCCUCUUCCAAAAAUUCUGACCUCAACUCGGUGGUGUUGAAAAUUGAGUGUACCUCAAUCUAUUUCACCAUCUUGAUGUAAGCAAACUUCCUUCAAUAUCUGUCGAAGCUCUGAUACUCUUUAUUAAGUUAAACAUGGCUGUAUACUGCUUCACAACAUAUUUGCCAGCAGAUUGGGCUUCUUCCCUAACACAUUCCAUCUCUUCAGUAAGGCCAUUAGCUCCGGAGUUAAGCUUUCCCACCCAUUGGUUCAACACAGCAAUCUCUUUAUUUGACCUCUCCAAGGCCUUGGUAGCCAAUUUUUGAUAAGCGUCAAAAGUCUCCACUCGCUUGGUCAAAGAAGUCACUCCACUCUGGAAUAAGUGGAUUUCUUCUUUAAGUUUUCAAUCUCUGUAGGGCAGAGGCAACCUUUACGGACUCCUCGGCUUACUACUUUUUUACGGCCUCAACAUCGGCCUUACUUUCUUGGCCUCUUCCUCAGUCUUGGAGGUCUUAUUAAAAAAUUCCUUAUUUUUCUUCUGAUGUUUUUAUAGGGGACUUCAAUCUCUAUGGAAAUUCCAAAUGCCUUUCGUGUUUGGCUUAUCAUUGUAGCAAAAAUGUCAGCCGAAUCACUGGACUCGGCAAAGGUCUUCCAUCUAUCCCUUCAAUGCUUGUGAAAUGUGGCAGUAGCCAUUUUGGACCUUUGGAGAUAGUAUGGACAGAGCCUUCGAAACUAGUUUAUCAUUCAUCUUUGACAAGGAGAGCUUCGUCCGGUGAUGUGCCACACCCAAAAUAGUUGAGGUAUCAUUCGACACUCUCCCUUUAUUUGAAAACUUUUGCCUCUGAUGCUCCAAUGAAGACGGCCUCUUCUAUCCCUCCUCAUUACAGCGAUAAAUGCUGCCAUCAACUUCUCUCCUACAGGGACUUCAAAUCGAGGGGGCAGAUUAAUAGUAGAUCCUCUCUCAGGUAGAAGAGAAUAUAAAUUUUUUUGGGGACCUUAUCCACCCUAUUCUUCCCAUUGUGCUUUGAAGGGGGUCAUCUGUCACCUUCAUGACCAGUAGUUUCCUUGCUAGCCUUUUCCACUUUGUCCAUCACCUGCUUGGCAGCAGCAAAUAAGGGCUUAAACCUUCUUCCCAACCAUGGAGGUCGUGGCUAGGAUGGAAGCAAUGUUUGGGGUUGGGUACUUCAUCUUUUCAAAAUUUUCUGCAAACAAAAGGAAAACAUGAUCAGUAUAAAUGUUACUGUACAAACAGUAAGGAAAAUUUUUAAGUGUUGCCUCUUAAAUAAACGACGAGCAACGAUCAACCGUUUGAACUUUCGAGAAGGUAAAGGACGAAGGUAGAUGUCUUCUACAACACCCUACUUUGCCUGCAUAAAUUUGAUGCGAUUAAUCGACCCUGCAACAUAUUGAAACUCAGAGUCAAAUUAAUUGCAGCACAAAGACAACUAAAAGUGGGACACUUAUGUGCUUUGGAGUAGGUGGUUGGAACUAUCACGUGAGGGACCUUCUCAACUUCACACGUCUGCUGCUAUCCCUCAUUAAAACCAAGUCUCCUUCCAUCGUUUGAUGGAGGUGAAAAACUUAUGACUAAUGGGAAGUGUGCCUCCCCAACAGACACAGAGUACCAAUCCUUGGAGUCCAUUUUCCUAAUACAAUACGCUAAAAAAUGGAUUGGAAAACGUGAAAAGGCAUGUCCUCACCAAAGAAGGUCUCCUUCCAUUGAAGGUAGGGACCCACUAAUUGAGCCCAAACAUUGGGGAUGAGUUGGG
rnacentral:lncRNA from 1 species